CGUGAGCGGCGGACGGGGGAGUAACGCGUGGGUACCGUACCUCAUACAGGGGAGUAACAGUUGGAAACGACUGCUAAUACCGCAUAAGCGCACAGUACCGCAUGGUACCGUGUGAAAAACUACCGGUGGUAUGAGAUGGACCCGCGUCUGAUUAGCUAGUUGGUGGGGUAACGGCCUACCAAGGCGACGAUCAGUAGCCGACCUGAGAGGGUGACCGGCCACAUUGGGACUGAGACACGGCCCAA
rnacentral:rRNA from 1 species